rnacentral:rRNA from 1 species
UACGUAGGGGGCAAGCGUUGUCCGGAUUUAUUGGGCGUAAAGAGCUCGUAGGCGGUUCGACAAGCCGACGGUGAAAUCUCCACGCUCAACGUGGAGGGGUCCGUCGGAACUGUCGUGACUAGAGUCCGGUAGGGGAGUGUGGAAUUUCCGGUGUAGCGGUGAAAUGCGCAGAGAUCGGAAGGAACACCCGUAGCGAAGGCGCUGCUCUGGGCCGGUACUGACGCUGAGGAGCGAAAGCGUGGGGAGCGAACAGG